rnacentral:rRNA from 1 species
UACGUAGGGUGCAAGCGUUGUCCGGAAUCAUUGGGCGUAAAGAGCGCGUAGGCGGUCCGGUAAGUCGGUUGUGAAAACUGGGGGCUCAACCCUCAGAGGCCGACCGAUACUGCCGGGCUAGAGUCCGGAAGAGGCAAGUGGAAUUCCCGGUGUAGCGGUGAAAUGCGCAGAUAUCGGGAGGAACACCUAUGGCGAAGGCAGCUUGCUGGGACGGUACUGACGCUGAGACGCGAAAGCGUGGGGAGCAAACAGG